rnacentral:rRNA from 1 species
UGAACGCUGGCGGUCUGUUUAACACAUGCAAGUCGAACGCAACCUUUGGGUUGAGUGGCGGACGGGUGAGUAACGCGUGAGAAUCUGCCUUGGGGUCGGGGACAACCACUGGAAACGGAGGCUAAUACCGGAUAAGCCUUUGGGUAAAAAAUUUAUUGCCCCAAGAGGAGCUCGCGUCUGAUUAGCUAGUUGGUGAGGUAAAAGCUCACCAAGGCAGCGAUCAGUAGCUGGUCUGAGAGGACGAUCAGCCACACUGGGACUGAGACACGGCCCAGACUCCUACGGGAGGCAGCAGUGGGGAAUUUUCCGCAAUGGGCGAAAGCCUGACGGAGCAAGACCGCGUGAGGGAGGAAGGCUCUUGGGUUGUAAACCUCUUUUCUCAGGGAAGAAGCUCUGACGGUACCUGAGGAAUCAGCCUCGGCUAACUCCGUGCCAGCAGCCGCGGUAAUACGGAGGAGGCAAGCGUUAUCCGGAAUUAUUGGGCGUAAAGCGUCCGCAGGUGGCGAUUCAAGUCUGCUGUCAAAGCACGGGGCUUAACUCCGUUANAGGCAGUGGAAACUGAAUAGCUAGAGUGCCGUAGGGGUAGAGGGAAUUCCCGGUGUAGCGGUGAAAUGCGUAGAGAUCGGGAAGAACAUCGGUGGCGAAAGCGCUCUACUGGACGGCAACUGACACUCAGGGACGAAAGCUAGGGGAGCGAAUGGGAUUAGAUACCCCAGUAGUCCUAGCUGUAAACGAUGGAUACUAGGUGUAGCUUGUAUCGACCCGAGCUGUGCCGAAGCUAACGCGUUAAGUAUCCCGCCUGGGGAGUACGCACGCAAGUGUGAA